rnacentral:rRNA from 1 species
CCCUUAGAUGUCCUGGGCCGCACGCGCGCUACACUGACAUGCUCAACAAGUUUCUCCUAGUUCGACAGGACUGGGAAAUCUUUGAACGCAUGUCGUGAUAGGGAUAGAUCAUUGCAAUUAUUGAUCUUGAACGAGGAAUUCCUAGUAAACGCGAGUCAUCAGCUCGCAUUGAUUACGUCCCUGCCCUUUGUACACACCGCCCGUCGCACCUACCGAUUGAAUGUUUCGGUGAAGAUUCCGGAUAGGACUGAUUUGAUUUAUUUCAUUUCUGACCUAAAAGCUAUCUAAACCUCAACAUUUAGAGGAAGGUGAAGUCGUAACA